CCUACGGGUGGCAGCAGUGAGGAAUAUUGGUCAAUGGGCGCGAGCCUGAACCAGCCAAGUAGCGUGAAGGAUGAAGGUCCUGCGUGUUGUAAACCUCUUUUAUCAGGGAAUAAAGUCAGGCACUUGUGCCUGUUUGUGUGUACUUUAUGAAUAAGGAUCGGCUAACUCCGUGCCAGCAGCCGCGGUAAUACGGAGGAUCCGCGCGUUAUCCGGAUUUAUUGGGUUUAAAGGGAGCGUAGAUGGGUUGUUAAGUCAGUUGUGAAAGUUUGCGGGUCAACCGUAAAAUUGCAAUUGAUACUGGCAGUCUUGAGUACAGUUGAGGUAGGCGGAAUUCGUGGUGUAGCGGUGAAAUGCUUAGAUAUCACGAAGAACUCCGAUUGCGAAGGCAGCUUACCAACUUGACACUGACAUUGAGGCUCGAAAGUGUGGGUAUCAAACAGGAUUAGAUACCCCUGUAGUC
rnacentral:rRNA from 1 species